rnacentral:rRNA from 1 species
UACGUAGGUGGCGAGCGUUGUCCGGAUUUAUUGGGCGUAAAGCGCGCGCAGGUGGUGCGGUAAGUCUGUCGUGAAAUCUCCCGGCUCAACUGGGAGGGUGCGGUGGAGACUGCCGGACUGGAGGCACUCAGAGGCCGGUGGAAUUCCCGGUGUAGUGGUGAAAUGCGUAGAUAUCGGGAGGAACACCUGUGGCGAAAGCGGCUCUCUGGACCACAACUGACGCUGAGGCGCGAAAGCUAGGGGAGCAAACAGG